AAUUUUAAAUUUUGUACAAUUUUGAAAUUUAAAAAUUUUAAUUUUAUUUCAAAUUUAAAUUUAGAUUUUAAAUUAUUUUAAAAUAAAAUUUAAUAAAAAUAUUAAUUUAUGCAAACAUCGAAAAAAUUUUGCCAAACAGCUUUUUAAAAUCACUUCAGAAAAAUCGCUUUAAUCUAAACUCAGCAAAACGAUGUACAGCUUUUAACAAAAAUCACUUUUCCAAACCAAAAUCACUUUUUCAGAAGCUAGGCCAAACGGGCCCUAUAUAUGUUAUAUAAUUUUAAAAGUUAUAUAUAUUAUUAUUAUUAUAUAAUUUUAGAAGUAUGGUUCCAAGUGAACCACAAGACGCCA
rnacentral:lncRNA from 1 species